GCCUUCAUGGUGUAGUGGUCAGCACGCUCGGCAUGUAUACGUGAGGUCUGUGGUUCGAGUCCCGGCGAGGGCA
rnacentral:tRNA from 1 species